GACCUUAGUAGGACCCGAUUAUUAGGUCCGACCUAUGAGAGGCCCGACCACAUUUUAAAGGAUAUUUGGAGAUGAGAGUGGUCGAGGUAUUUACCUCGAGCCAUGCUAGAAAGUUUGGGGUCGGGCUAUAAUUUUCAUACACAUCACCAUGGAUAAAAAGGAUAUUUAUGCCAGGCUCUGCAGACCCAACUCUUUUGACGGUGGACAAAGGAAUUUUGGAUUGAUAAGAGAAUCGGAGGGACAUAUUUGUCAAUUUCUUCAAAGGCGAUAGCAAUUACGGGUAUAGAUGAUCGGAGAUAUUGAAAUCGCAUUCAGACUGAUGAAUCUAGGUUCAAUGUGAUCAUUUUGAAGACUUCUUUUUUGCGUUUGAGCUGGAUAAAUAUGUCUAUGAAGCCUUGUUCAAAAGGAAAACAGCAGAGGUUUUCAGUGGAAAUAUCAACUGCUCAUAAGAAAACUUCCCUAAACCGAUUGGUCAAGUUGGAUUUUCUGUGAUUUGCGAUUAUUUGUGAAAAUUUUUGCUUGCAA